rnacentral:lncRNA from 1 species
AUUUUUUAUUUUUUUGUUCAUUUUUUUUUUUACUUUUUCCACGAGUAUAUAUCCAUAUAAUACUUCCCAAUUCUUCAUAAUAUAACUUUUUGUAAUGGAUACUUGAUAAUGGUUGAUGCUUAAUGGACAAUUGGACAUCAACAUUUACUAAAUGAACACGACGUUUUAACCUAUGUGCAACUACUAAUGGAUAAAUAUUAAAUAUAAUAAUUUUGCCUUAAGUAUAUCAAAAUACAU